rnacentral:rRNA from 1 species
UCGGGAAUUUUGGGCAAUGGGCGAAAGCCUGACCCAGCAACGCCGCGUGUGGGAUGAAGGCCCUCGGGUCGUAAACCACUGUCAGGAGGAAAGAAAAGUCGGCCGGAUAAUACUCGGUCGACCUGACGGUACCUCCAAAGGAAGCACCGGCUAACUCCGUGCCAGCAGCCGCGGUAAUACGGAGGGUGCAAGCGUUGUUCGGAAUUACUGGGCGUAAAGCGCGUGUAGGUGGUCGAGUAAGUCGAAUGUGAAAGCCCCGGGCUCAACCCGGGAAGUGCAUCCGAAACUGCUCGACUAGAGUCCCGGAGAGGAAGGCAGAAUUCCCAAUGUAGGGGUGAAAUCCGUAGAUAUUGGGAGGAAUACCGGUGGCGAAGGCGGCCUUCUGGACGGUGACUGACACUCAGACGCGAAAGCGUGGGGAGCGAAACAGGAUUAGAUACCCAGGUAGUCCCUGAGCGGGCUGGCAAGGCGCAU